GCGCCGGUUUAGCUCAGUGGUUACUUCUUGAAGUUCCCGCUUGCGGCUCGCGCGGGCUGCGGGUUCGCCACGGGCGCUGCCCGGCGUUUUG
rnacentral:vault_RNA from 13 species